GGAAGAGAAAUAGCGGCGCCUCUCCCUCACGCCUCUCUUUUCUCCGGCGAAAUCGCCGUUUCUCUGCAUCGCCGGAGCAUCACCGAUCCCGUCCUCUCUCUCCGUUUCACACAACUUUUCCAAUUUUCCCUAAUUUCACAUUCUUAAAUCCCUAAUUUAGAAAACACAGCAACGGCUUCUUCCCUCUUCUUUUCUCGGCGAUUCGCCGGCUUCGUCUCCUCCAUCUCAACUCUCGGUCACCGCACUGAUAUCUUCUCUUUCGUGGUGGAGUCACGGCGGAGCGAAUUCACCGGUGGGGCUGAGGCGUCGCCUCGAAGCUCGCGGUCUAGCGGCCUCGUCCCGCUGCGUCGAUCGGUCAGCUGGUCCUCAAGGCGGAGCCGCCGUGCAGGGGUGCACGUGGCUGUCACGCCGCUUCGUUCUUUCCGUCGAGUUCUCCGGUGAGCAGCGACUCUGGCCCACUCUCGACGUCCCUUCGACGGCGUCAACGCCAUCGCCAUUUCACGCUGCUGCUCCGGCAGCGCCUCCUCCGUAGUCGACUUUCCGGAGCUCCGUCGUUGCCGAACAGCCCUUCGGCCUAAGCUAAGUUCUAAUUCUUUUAUUCCAAUCUAUUUCUCCUCAUUUACUCGUUCGAUUCCGAGCUUAUUUGGUGAUGUUUUGAUGGCUGGAAAGGGAAAAUCUUAUUUGUGUUCGUUGCUGGGGUAUUUGCAUUUGAUAAACAUAUGUUCUUGUCCUAGAUUUCUUUCAUCUUUUAGCAUAUUAUUAGUGAAAAGGCUUAGGCAGCAGCUUGUGAGAUUUUAAGUUCUUGAAAUUGUUUGUCCCGGUGGAGUCCCGCAUAAUAGCUACUGAUUUUGGCCUUAUGAGGCAGACUAUGGUUUUCCUUACACUACUUGUUAUGAUUCUGGAUUUAGUGUAGUUAACACUUGUGCUACUAAGUUCUUGAACUAUGUUGUGAUUGUUCUAAACAUGAUGCAAGAUAAGGUGUUGGGGUGUUGAGGUGUUUACCUUGGUUUGGUGAUUUCCUUUUUGCUUGUUGGCUGCCCUCCUUGCUGUUGUUGGAAGGAGAUUCCUAAACCUUAAGCUCACAAUAGCCUUUCUUGCUCCUUCUCACUCUCAACUUACCACUCUAAUGCUAGAGAAUUUUGAAAUAUGAGGAAAGAGUAGUGUUGUGGUAUGUGGUGUGGCUUAUAUAGGCAGAGAUGUGUACUCGUGUAGCCUUAAUUGGGGCUGUUGUAAUUCUUUGUUAUUUUCCUGCAUCAAAUCUCCCUUUUCUUUGAUUCUUGCAGUAGCUUUAACAGAAUUUGGUGGUAUACUAAGGAGGUGUUGCCAUAUGGUGUGAAGGAUUAAAGAAUUUGACUUGCCCUCUUUGGUGAAUUUUUGGUCUCCUAUUAUCAAAGAGGAAGAAACAAUUUUGGCUGCCACUUAGUUGCCUCGGAGAGUGGGCUCGCUGCCCUGGGCCCGGUGGCCGAUCAGAUACGGGCCGCGACUUUCGGCCCGGAAGAAGAGGCCCGAUGCCAUUUGUUCCAUGCACAUUUUAUCUUUUUAGUUGUUCAUUUUAUUGCCUAUGUAACGCUAUUCGAAAAUUCAUGAUAUUCUACAAUGUAAAUUUCCAAUUUCUUAGUUCAA